CAAAGUUGAUCGUGUUUAUGACGUCGAAUAUACGACGUCAUAAACACCAAAGUUGAUCGUGUUUAUGACGUCGAAUAUCGACGUCAUAAACACCAAAG